rnacentral:tRNA from 1 species
CAACGAGUAGUUUAAUAUUAAAAUUCUGGUUUUGGGGACCAGAGAUGAAGUAGAUUCCUCUUUGA